rnacentral:rRNA from 1 species
UACGGGGGGGGCAAGCGUUGUUCGGAAUUACUGGGCGUAAAGGGCGCGUAGGCGGCCUUCUAAGUCGGACGUGAAAUCCCUCGGCUUAACCGAGGAACUGCGUCCGAUACUGAAAGGCUUGAAUCCGGGAGAGGGAUGUGGAAUUCCAGGUGUAGCGGUGAAAUGCGUAGAUAUUGGGAAGAACACCAGUGGCGAAAGCGGACUUCUGGGUUGUUACUGACGCUGAGGUACGAAAGCGUGGGGAGCAAACGGG